CCUACGGUGUGCUGCAGUGGGGAAUAUUGGGCAAUGGAGGAAACUCUGACCCAGCAACGCCGCGUGAAUGAUGAAGGUCUUCGGAUUGUAAAGUUCUUUUCUAAGAGAAGAAGAAAGUGACGGUACCUUAGGAAUAAGCCUCUGCCACCUACGUGCCAGCAGCCGCGGUACUAAGUAGGAGGGAAGCGUUAUCCGGAAUGACUGGGCGUAAAGGGUGCGUAGGGGGUUUGACAAGUUGGUAGCGUAACUCCGGGGCUCAACCUCGGCACUACUACCAAAACUGUCGGACUUGAGUGCAGGAGGGGCAAAUGGAAUUCCUGGUGUAGCGGUGGAAUGCGUAGAGAUUAGGAGGAGUACCAGUGGCGAAGGCGAUUUGCUGGACUGUAACUGACACUGAGGCACGAAAGCGUGGGGAGCAAACAGGAUUAGAUACCCCAGUAGUC
rnacentral:rRNA from 1 species